rnacentral:misc_RNA from 1 species
GAUGAAGAACGUAGCGAAAUGCGAUAAGUAAUGUGAAUUGCAGAAUUCAGUGAAUCAUCGAAUCUUUGAACGCGCAUUGCGACCGCCAGCAUUCUGGCGGGCAUGCCUGUUCGAGCGUCAUUUCAACCCUCGAGCCCCCCCGGGGGCCUCGGUGUUGGGGGACGGCACACCAGCCGCCCCCGAAAUGCAGUGGCGACCCCGCCGCAGCCUCCCCUGCGUAGUAGCACACACCUCGCAGCGGAGCGCGGAGGCGGUCACGCCGUAAAACGCCCAACUUUCUUAGAGUUGACCUCGGAUCAGGUAGGAAUACCCGCUGAACUUAAGCAUAUCAAUAAGCGGAGGA